CAGUAGCCGCGGUAAUACGAAGGGGGCUAGCGUUGUUCGGAUUUACUGGGCGUAAAGCGCACGUAGGCGGACUUUUAAGUCAGGGGUGAAAUCCCGGGGCUCAACCCCGGAACUGCCUUUGAUACUGGAAGUCUUGAGUAUGGUAGAGGUGAGUGGAAUUCCGAGUGCAGAGGUGAAAUUCGUAGAUAUUCGGAGGAACACCAGUGGCGAAGGCGGCUCACAGGACCAUUACUGACGCUGAGGUGCGAAAGCGUGGGGAGCGAACAGGAUUAGAUACCCCGGUAGUCCCUGUCUCUUAUAC
rnacentral:rRNA from 1 species